AGAGUUAAAUUUUUCAUAAAAAUUUUCACUGUUUAAAAUUGUUUUUGUUUGUUUCAUGUGAUUAUGUCCUAUUUGUCUCUGUUAUUAUUGUUCUGUUUUGUUUUCAGAAGAUUUGAAUGUUACCUAAUCCAAAACCAGGCCUAAUCCAAAACUCAGGGAAAAUACCUACAAUUCAAGCAUUUAUAUUAGGGACUACGGCUUCAAAUUAAGAUUUCUCUGAAGUCAAAUCAAAUUAUAUAGAAGGUCUACAAGGGGUAUGGUUUCAAAGGUAGGAAGGCAGGAACUUUCCAGCGCCAUGCCUCCAUCCACCUCCCCAUCUGGGAGACUAGAGCUCUUCAACUUUCCACGCGAGAAAUGUAGACAGCUCAGCAGGAGAACUUUUUCCUCUCUGUCUGAAGACCUCAUCUAUUCUGCCUGAAGAAACUUCAGUGUGCUCCCCCAUGGUCCUGCUAUUCCAAGGGACUGCUGAUACUUCCAAGAUAUAUACCCUGCUACCCUUUAUUACUGCUCAAUAUAUAUCUAGGCUUAACUCUCAAGAAACCCCAGGAAAUAAGGUACACAGUAUGACCCAUGGAAAGGUGUGAUUUUAAAGAUUGAUAUAGAAACCUGGGGAUUAUAUAUUGGAAUUAAUACUAAGGUUUCUAGAGCAGGGUUAAUAAAUAUUUUGUUUGAUCAGACUGAAUGGAGACU
rnacentral:lncRNA from 13 species